GACGAACGCUGGCGGCGUGCUUAACACAUGCAAGUCGAACGGAAAGGCCCUAGCUUGCUAGGGUGCUCGAGUGGCGAACGGGUGAGUAACACGUGGGUGAUCUGCCUUGUACUCUGGGAUAAGCUUGGGAAACUGGGUCUAAUACCGGAUAGGAACUGCCUUUAGUGUGGUGGUUGGAAAGUUUUUUCGGUGCAAGAUGAGCUCGCGGCCUAUCAGCUUGUUGGUGGGGUAAUGGCCUACCAAGGCGUCGACGGGUAGCCGGCCUGAGAGGGUGUACGGCCACAUUGGGACUGAGAUACGGCCCAGACUCCUACGGGAGGCAGCAGUGGGGAAUAUUGCACAAUGGGCGGAAGCCUGAUGCAGCGACGCCGCGUGGGGGAUGACGGCCUUCGGGUUGUAAACUCCUUUCGACAGGGACGAAGCUUUUGUGACGGUACCUGUAUAAGAAGCACCGGCUAACUACGUGCCAGCCGCCGCGGUAA
rnacentral:rRNA from 1 species